AUUGAACGCUGGCGGCAGGCCUAACACAUGCAAGUCGAACGGUAACAGGAAGCAGCUUGCCGCUUUGCUGACGAGUGGCGGACGGGUGAGUAAUGUCUGGGAAACUGCCUGGUGGAGGGGGAUAACUACUGGAAACGGUAGCUAAUACCGCAUAACGUCGCAAGACCAAAGAGGGGGACCUUCGGGCCUCUUGCCAUCGGAUGUGCCCAGAUGGGAUUAGCUAGUAGGUGGGGUAACGGCUCACCUAGGCGACGAUCCCUAGCUGGUCUGAGAGGAGAACCGGCUAGACUGGAACUGAGGCAGCGUCCAAACUCCUACGGGAGGCAGCAGUGGGGAAUAUUGCACAAUGGGCGCAAGCCUGAUGCAGCCAUGCCGCGUGUAUGAAGGAGGCCUUCGGGUUGUAAAGCACUUUCAGCGGGGAGGAAGGUGUUGAGGUUAAUAACCUCAGCAAUUGACGUUACCCGCAGAAGAAGCACCGGCUAACUCCGUGCCAGCCGCCGCGGUAA
rnacentral:rRNA from 1 species